rnacentral:lncRNA from 1 species
AGAAAUUGCUAGUCUGGGAACUGUUCUACAGUGCAUUUUGGAUUGCAACCUACAAUCUGCGGAUAUGCUUGAUAAGGAGAUUAAAUUUCGCAUUCUUGAGCUAAAAGUAAUUAAAGGCAAUUAGUUUUUGUACUGGAACAACCUAAUGUAAAGAAUUGGGGUAACGGAAACAUGCUAACUUAUAGGUUACUUUUGUUGGGGUACGUAUUCACGUGUAAAUGACUCUAACACAAAUGACUUUAACACGGCGCUCUUUGUUUCAUACCCUGUAAAAGCUCUAAUUGGAAAGAAUGACAACCAAUGAUAUGGUUAACAGGAUUAUCUUUAUUUGUUGGCUACAUCUUUUUAAGGUCUAGGGAAUUAGGGUGAAUCAACAAAACUGUUGUGUGACUUUUCUUUUUACUUAACUCUUUACUAAGUUCCCACUGAACACACAAAACACAUUAUUAUUCAUUAUAAUCUAAAAUCAAGUUUGUAAACAAGUUUAUCUUUUAAGGUUAUGAACAUUCUCUUCUUUAAGAAGGUUCACUAACAAAUCUUUUGUUAUCCAAGUAUGUAUCUGUUUAAGAUCAAAUUUGUAUAGUGCAGCUNNNNNNNNNNNNNNNNNNNNNNNNNNNNNNNNNNNNNNNNNNNNNNNNUCGCUUCUAAUACAUCAACAUUUCUUCUUAUAUACGGAAGUUACUUUUGCCGCCCUACCAUUUUCUCAAACAUUGUCUGCUAUUUAAGUAGCGGACGACAUUUUUCCCUAAAAUUUCUCAUUUUAUAACCUCUGCUACUUAAGUAGCGGAUGAGUAAAGAUAGAGUGCACGAGAAACACGUAGGGCGGCAAAAGUAAUUCCCCUUGUAUAUUGCAACAAAAAUUUGGUAACAUCGUUUAUAAGUUGUUUUCAAUUUAUUUUUAUGAGUUAUCUUAUCUAAAUACAAAUAAAAUAAUUUAUCUAUAAAUGUUUAUUAGGAUAAACAAAUAAGUUGUUUUUACAACCAAAGUUCACUAUGUUGAGUUGAGAUCAUAUUUAUUCUUUGAGGAGUGCUAGCAACACACUCCAAUAACAAACACACUCUAACACACUCUCUUUUAUUGGUUAAAAUUUAUAUGGGUCCCAUAAAAGUUAUAUGGGUCCACAUUUUUUUAUGGGACCCAUGUGAAUUUCAACCAAUAAAAGAGAGUGUGUUGGAGUGUGUUUGUUAAAGAGUGUGUUGCUAGCAUUAUUGUUAUUCUUUUAUUUUCUUUAUUACUAUAUCAUUUAAAAAAAUGCCAAAAAUGCCAUUAAAUGAAUUCAAUUUUCUUUUAUACACUCCAAAAUAUUUAAAAAUCCUAAUAAUAAAAGAAAUAAAAAUAAUAGAAAAUAGAUACUAUGCUAACUCCACUAUGUUACUACACUUAAUUUUUGCUUAUGGUACAUAAUUAUUUUUAUCAUGUGGAAAUUUACACAUGUUAAAAAGUUUAAAAUAGUAAAUUUGGUUGUGCAUUUUAUAUUAAAUGUAUAACUUUUUAAUAAAUAAUUUUUAAUUUUCAAAUUUUUUUUACUAAUUUUAGUUGCUUUAAAUUUUUUCUGAUUAAAAUAUUAGAAAGAAAGAAAAAAAAAAGUUGAAUUAUAAUUUAAUGGUCUAGUCUAGGUACUCAUAUAUUUGCCAUUUUCAUGUCUGUUUUGUGGACCCCCAAACCCUCACACAGUCACAACUGUGACCUGACCCCUACCAACUGUAGUAACAAACCAACUCACGAUAUUCAUUUUUUCCCUCUCUUCUUUCCUUCAUUUUUCUCUUUAUUUUAACUCUUCACUCUCCAAAUUCAAAUCAAAUCUACAAAUCUCUUUUCUCUUUCUCUCUUCAUCUUCCAUUUUUUCUUUCUGGCUUUACCUCAACCAUUACAGUACCAAGAAGAAAAGUAUUGUAAGCAUCUCAACUUCAUUAUGUUUAUUUUUUCACAUUUUUUUCAUGCUUUUCUCAACAAAAAAUCAACUUCAUGCAUUGUUUAAGCUUUUCUUCUGCUAGUUUAGUGUAUUAUUACUUCAUGAUUCAUUUUGACCUAAAAAUUUUCAUUUUAUUUUUUUUGUCAAAUAGUCUGGUGGCUAGAAAUUUCACCUUAAAAGUAAUUAGGUGAAUAAGUGGAGUGUUCGAGAUUUAAAUCUCGACUCUUGUAUAUAUAAUGUGAUGUCUCUACCAACUUAGAUAAGUUCACAUGGACCAAAAUAUUCAAUUCAAGCUUGUUGUUUAUUUUUUAUUUUUAUUUAUAUUUUUUCGUUUUUUUAUUACCAGGAUUUUAUACUGUGUUUGUAAUUUCUGAGGGUUUCCCGUUUCCACAGUUGAAUGAUGGAUUUUGAGGGUUUUGAUAAGCCAAAUUUUUCUGGUGAUGAUGGGAAUUUUAAGUUUCCAGUUUCAUGUGAAGAUGAGGAUGAUGUUCCUUUGUUACCAAAGUUUUCCCGGAUUUCGUGUUUGGGAGCAUGUAGUAGUAAACAUGAGGCUUCUGGUAUGAAGAAUACUACAGUUUCAGCUAAAAGGCUGUUAGAUAACAACAAUUACUUGCAUAGUUCUGUUAAGAAAUCGAAGGUGUCACCGUACGAUGAUCACAAAAAAAAUGAAGAUGAUAUUCCUUUGUCGGAUUUAAAUAAAAGGCCCGGAAAAUCAACUGAUAAUUGUGUGAAGGAUUUUGUAGUGAAGGAAGGGCAACUCUAUUUGAUGGAGGAAUUGAUUGAAGAGCGCAAGCAAGAGUUCAAGGCUAAAGAGAUAGAACUUAUUCAAGUCAAGGUUAACAUUUCAAAAGAAAUAGAACUCUGUCAAGUCAUUGAUAAGGACCGCGGAAGGAAGGAAGAGGAAGUCAAGGCUCUUUCCCAAAAAAUUGCUGAAUUUACUUUCGAGCUUAAGGCCAGAGAGAAAGACCUUGAUGCAAUGAACAAAUUAAUUGGCGAACAAGCAGAAAAAUUAGACCCUGAAAGGAAGAAUGUUGGUGCUCAAACGAAGGCAUUUGAGUCAUUGAAGAAACAAUUUGAAGGUCGGAUUAAGGAAUUGAAACAGAAGCAAUGUGAAAAACAAGUGGCGGAGCUUGUGUCAAAGGAGAAGUACUAUGAAGGACGAUUAAAGGAGUUAGAAUCAAAGGAGGAGAAGCUUGAAGAACAAAUUGAGGUGUUUGAAUCAAAGAAGGAGGCACUUGAAGGUCGUAAGAAGGAGCUUGAAUCAAAAGAGAAGCAAGUUGAAAGACGGGAAAUGGAAAUUGAGUCAAAAGAGAGUCAACUUGUUGGCCGAAUGAAGGAGAUUGAAUNNNNNNNNNNNNNNNNNNNNNNNNNNNNNNNNNNNNNNNNNNNNNNNNNNNNNNNNNNNNNNNNNNNNNNNNNNNNNNNNNNNNNNNNNNNNNNNNNNNNNNNNNNNNNNNNNNNNNNNNNNNNNNNNNNNNNNNNNNNNNNNNNNNNNNNUCAACUUGUUGGCCGAAUGAAGGAGAUUGAAUCAAAAGAGAAAGAAUUUGAAGGCCAGACAAAGGAGCUGGUAUUGAAAAAAGAACUUUUUGAAAGCCAAAUGAAGGAACUUGAGUCGAAAGAAAAGCGACUUGUAGGCCGAUUGGAAGAGCAUGAAUCCAAUGUGAGGGAAUUUAAAGCCCAAGUGGAGGAGCUGGAAUCUAGAAAGAAGAAUUUUGAAAGCCGAAUGAAGGAGCUUGAGUCAAAAGAGAAGCAACAUGAAGGCCGAAUGAAAGUGCUUGAAUCAAAAGAAAGAGAAUAUGAAGGCCAAUUGAAGGAGCUGGAAUCUAAAAAGUAUCAUUUUGAGAGCCAACUCAAGGAGGUAGAAUCAAAAGAUAACCAACUUGUCGGCCAAAUGAAGGAGCUUGAAUCAAAAGAGAGCAAAUUUGAAUGCCAAAUGAAGGAGCUGGAAUUGACAAAGAAGCAAUUUGAAAUCCGAAUGAAGGAGCUUGAGUCAAAAGAGAGAAAAUUUGAAGGCCAACUGAAGGAGCUGGAAUCUCAAACAAAACAUUUAGAAAGCAAGAGGGUGGAGUUCCAAUCAAAAUUGAGGCCAUUGCAAGGACAAAUUAAAGAACUUGAAUCCAAAAAGAAGCGACUUGAUGAACAAGCGAAGGAGCUAGAAUCAAAACAGAAGUUGUUUGAAAGCCAAGUGAAGGAGUUAGAGUCAAAAGAGAACCAACUUGUAGGCCAAAUGAAAGAGUUUGAAUCAAAAGAGAGUCAAUUUGAAGACCAAAUGAAGGAGCAGGUACUGAAACAACAGCAUUUUGAAAGCCGAAUGAAAGAGCUUGAGUCAAAAGAGAAGCAACAUGAAGGCCGAGUGAAGGAGCAUGAAUCAAAAGCGAGAGAAUUUGAAGGCCAAGUGAAGGAGCUGGAAUCUAAACAGAAGUAUUUNNNNNNNNNNNNNNNNNNNAGCAACAUGAAUUCCGAGUGAAGGAGCAUGCAUCCCAAGCGAGAGAUUUCAAAGGCCAGGUGAAGGAGCUAGAAUCUAAAAAGAAGCAUUUUGAAAGCCAAGUGGAGGAGCUCAAGUCAAAAGAGAGGCAAUUGAAAGGAGAAGUUAUGGAACUGGAGUCUAAAGAGAAGCAAUUUGAUGGUCGGGUGAAGGAGUUAGAAUCAAAAGAGAAUGAAUUUGAAGGCCGGGUGAAGGAGCUAGAAUCAGAAAAGAAGCAUUUCAACAGUCAAGCAAUGGAGCUCGAAUCAAAAGGAAAGCAGUUUGAAGGACAGAUAAAGGAGUUUCAGGCAAAAGAGGAGAAAUUUAAAGUGAAAGUUAAGGAGCUUGAAUCAAAGGAGCUGGAAGUCGAAUGUCAAGUUAAGGAGCUCGAAUCAAAAAAGAAGCUUUUUGAAAGCCAAGUUGAGGAUUUUAAAUUAAAAGAGAAGCAGUUGGAAGGACAACUGAGGGAGCCUGAGUCAAGGAAAAAAUAUAUUAACGAGGAAAAAGAAUCGGGUAAAUGUUCUUAUUCAUAGAAUUUCAUUACUACUGUUCCUCUUAAUGAUGAUAAUUUUUAGAACCUGAUCUACAUAAUUCUUCAAAAACAUUUUUAAUCAUGUUACUAUUUAAUGUCUUAGUCAAGUUUAAAUAUUCUCCUGUUUUCGUAUCACAUCCACACACUGUAAACUAGUUUGGAUUAUAUUUUUUACCCUUGAAUAUUUUAUGAAUCUCUUAAGCACAAAUAACUCUUGGGUUUUUUUAUCCAUAGCUAAGGUUUUAAUACAAUAUUAUGAUACUUCUAAUGAUAAAUUAGUAUAUUAAUGUAGUUUAAAAUUUUCAAGUAUAUUGCAAAAAGUGUAGCUUAAUAUUCCGAUUUGGGCAACUACUUCUAGCCUUGUUUAUUAAUCAAUGAAAUUUAACAGUCUCCAGUUAUUCAGUUAAGGUACUAUGUUGACAUUGAUUGUAACUGUUAGUAUAAUUCUUUCCUCUGUCACCCAUAUAUUUCAAUCUAGCAGAUGUCUUACAUUCUAGCGUAGUAUAUGGUUUCUUUUAAAAUCUUAUUGUCACUGUCAUUAUUAUUUACAGAUGCUUUUAUAAGUAUGAGGAACCUUAAAUAUCUGCUGUCUAAAUAUGCAGUUGCAUCUGAUCAAUUAAGUCGUAUAAUUGGCGGAACAAGUUUGCAGUUGGAUACAAGUAAGAAAAUUGAUGGAGUUGAGUCGCAUUACAAUGGUAGUUUAGUUAAUAUGCUAGACUCACCAGAUCCUCCAAGAGCUGUUUUGGAUAUGAUACAGAACCCCGUUAUUCCACUGUGUAAGAUGGGAGACAAUGUUGUGAUUAUUGAUGAUUGCCACAUCUUUCUGCUAGAACAACUGAUGAGAAUCUCACCAAAUAUUGAACCUUGUGUAAGAGAAGAAGCAUUGAAGCUAGCACUUGAUUUGAAAGCUUACAUGAAAGAAAAUACUGAAAAUUCUUUGGUUGUUCUGGGUUUUCUACUGCUUUUGUCGAUUUAUGGAUUGCUUGAUUCUUUCAAUGAAGAUGAAGUCUUGGAGCUUUUUGCAUUUGUUUCUCAAGACAAGAUAGCUAUUGAGCUGUUUGAGACCCUUGGUUUUACAAAUAAAGUUUCUGGUAUGUUAAUUAAUGUAUGCUUACAUAUUUUCUCAUAUGAUUAUCAAAUCAAAUGUGUUCAUAUCUAUUGUUACUUUCCCUACCAUUCCUAUCUGCAGUCAGGAUGAUGUGGUUGCUAGUGUUCUUAGUGCAGAACUCUGAGAUAGGAACUCUUAAAUUAUGAUGAAAAUGACAUAGAAAAAGUAAAUAUUAAGAUUGGUGUAUGAACUGUGUGAAGUCUCUAAAUUGGCUUCAUUUUGUGUCCCCAACAGAUCUAAAAUUAGAACUUAUUUUAUGUCUGUUCUAGUAAGUUUUGAUGAAGUAAAAUAUCUUGUACCUUGCAGAUUUUGUUAAAAAUCUUAUCACGAGGAAGCAAUUUGUUGCAGCUGUUAGAUUCAGUUGUGCAUAUAGCUUGGCUGACAAGAAUCAAUUAGUUGUUAUGUUGCGAGAACACGUCCAGAGUGCCAAACUAAUUUGUGACAGCAGUUGUGAGAAAACCAACGCUAUAGAAAUCAAGGUACUUCUGUUUUUCUUAUUGAAGUUCUAUUUUAUCAAACAUUGCAUGAUAGUUAUAAAUAAAUUACUAUGAACUUUAUUGAACUCNNNNNNNNNNNNNNNNNNNNNNNNNNNNCAUUUUGGAUUGCGACCUACAAUCUGAGGAUAUGAUGCUUGAUAAGGAUAUUAAAUAUCGCAUUCUUGAGCUAAAAUCAAGUAAAGGCAUUUAGAUUUUGUACCAUAACAACCUAUGUAAAGAAAUGUGGUAAUGGAAGCUUGCUAACAUGACUCUCUGUAUCUUACUCUAUGUAUAAAGUCUAAUUAUUAGGAAUGAAUGAAAACUCAUGAGAUAUAAUUAACAGGGUUAUCUUUA